ensembl:snRNA U6 U6 spliceosomal RNA
GUGUUUGCUUCGGCAGCACAUAUACUAAAAUUGGAACGAUACAGAGAUUAGCGUGGCCUCUGUGCAAGGAUGACACCCAAAUUCGUGAGGCGUUCCAUACUUUU